GCACUGGUGGUUCGUCAGUGGUAGAAUUCUCGCCUGCCACGCGGGUUCGAUUCCCGGCUAGUGCA